rnacentral:rRNA from 1 species
GACGAACGCUGGCGGCGUGCUUAACACAUGCAAGUCGAACGGAAAGGCCCUGCUUUUGUGGGGUGCUCGAGUGGCGAACGGGUGAGUAACACGUGAGUAACCUGCCCUUGACUUUGGGAUAACUUCAGGAAACUGGGGCUAAUACCGGAUAGGAGCUCCUGCUGCAUGGCGGGGGUUGGAAAGUUUCGGCGGUUGGGGAUGGACUCGCGGCUUAUCAGCUUGUUGGUGGGGUAGUGGCUUACCAAGGCUUUGACGGGUAGCCGGCCUGAGAGGGUGACCGGCCACAUUGAGACUGAGAUACGGCCCAGACUCCUACGGUAGGCAGCAGUGGGGAAUAUUGCACAAUGGGCGGAAGCCUGAUGCAGCAACGCCGCGUGCGGGAUGACGGCCUUCGGGUUGUAAACCGCUUUCGCCUGUGACGAAGCGUGAGUGACGGUAAUGGGUAAAGAAGCACCGGCUAACUACGUG